rnacentral:rRNA from 1 species
GACGAUCCGUAGCGGGUCUGAGAGGAUGAUCCGCCACACUGGGACUGAGACACGGCCCAGACUCCCACGGGAGGCAGCAGUGGGGAAUUUUGGACAAUGGGCGCAAGCCUGAUCCAGCCAUGCCGCGUGAGUGAAGAAGGCCUUCGGGUUGUAAAGCUCUUUCGGCCGGGAAGAAAUCGUGGUCUCUAACAUAGGCCAUGGAUGACGGUACCGGACUAAGAAGCACCGGCUAACUACGUGCCAGCAGCCGCGGUAAUACGUAGGGUGCGAGCGUUAAUCGGAAUUACUGGGCGUAAAGCGUGCGCAGGCGGUUUGCUAAGACAGGUGUGAAAUCCCCGGGCUUAACCUGGGAACUGCGCUUGUGACUGGCAGGCUAGAGUACGGCAGAGGGGGGUGGAAUUCCUGGUGUAGCAGUGAAAUGCGUAGAGAUCAGGAGGAACACCGAUGGCGAAGGCAGCCCCCUGGGCCUGUACUGACGCUCAUGCACGAAAGCGUGGGGAGCAAACAGGAUUAGAUACCCUGGUAGUCCACGCCCUAAACGAUGUCGACUAGUCGUUCGGAGCAGCAA